GCCAGACUCAGUGAUGUGCACCUGUAGUUCUUGCUACUCAGUGUCUGAGGGGGGAGGAAUGCUUGAGCCCAGGAGUUCUGGGCUGUGGUACACUAUGCUGAUCAAUUGAUCAAUACACUGUCUGCACUAAGUUCAGCAUGAAUACAGUGACCUCGUGGGAAGGCAGGACUAUCAAGUUGCCUAAGGAGGGGUGAACUGGCCCAGGUUGGAAAUGCAGGUCAAAACUGCUGUGCUAUCCAGUAGUGGGAUGACAUCUGUGAAUAGUCACUGCACUCCAGCCUAGGCAAUAUAGGGAAACCCUGUCUCUU
ensembl:misc_RNA Metazoa_SRP Metazoan signal recognition particle RNA